ACUCCUACGGGAGGCAACAGUAGGGAAUCUUCCACAAUGGGCGGCAAGCCUGAUGGAGCAACACCGCGUGAGUGAAGAAGGGUUUCGGCUCGUAAAGCUCUGUUGUUAAAGAAGAACACGUAUGAGAGUAACUGUUCAUACGUUGACGGUAUUUAACCAGAAAGUCACGGCUAACUACGUGCCAGCAGCCGCGGUAAUACGUAGGUGGCAAGCGUUAUCCGGAUUUAUUGGGCGUAAAGAGAGUGCAGGCGGUUUUCUAAGUCUGAUGUGAAAGCCUUCGGCUUAACCGGAGAAGUGCAUCGGAAACUGGAUAACUUGAGUGCAGAAGAGGGUAGUGGAACUCCAUGUGUAGCGGUGGAAUGCGUAGAUAUAUGGAAGAACACCAGUGGCGAAGGCGGCUACCUGGUCUGCAACUGACGCUGAGACUCGAAAGCAUGGGUAGCGAACAGGAUUAGAUACCCUGGUAGGAUAGCG
rnacentral:rRNA from 1 species